rnacentral:rRNA from 2 species
GUGGGGAGCUAUACAUGCAAGUCGAGCGAACUGAUUAGAAGCUUGCUUCUAUGACGUUAGCGGCGGACGGGUGAGUAACACGUGGGCAACCUGCCUGUAAGACUGGGAUAACUUCGGGAAACCGAAGCUAAUACCGGAUAGGAUCUUCUCCUUCAUGGGAGAUGAUUGAAAGAUGGUUUCGGCUAUCACUUACAGAUGGGCCCGCGGUGCAUUAGCUAGUUGGUGAGGUAACGGCUCACCAAGGCAACGAUGCAUAGCCGACCUGAGAGGGUGAUCGGCCACACUGGGACUGAGACACGGCCCAGACUCCUACGGGAGGCAGCAGUAGGGAAUCUUCCGCAAUGGACGAAAGUCUGACGGAGCAACGCCGCGUGAGUGAUGAAGGCUUUCGGGUCGUAAAACUCUGUUGUUAGGGAAGAACAAGUACGAGAGUAACUGCUCGUACCUUGACGGUACCUAACCAGAAAGCCACGGCUAACUACGUGCCAGCAGCCGCGGUAAUACGUAGGUGGCAAGCGUUAUCCGGAAUUAUUGGGCGUAAAGCGCGCGCAGGCGGUUUCUUAAGUCUGAUGUGAAAGCCCACGGCUCAACCGUGGAGGGUCAUUGGAAACUGGGGAACUUGAGUGCAGAAGAGAAAAGCGGAAUUCCACGUGUAGCGGUGAAAUGCGUAGAGAUGUGGAGGAACACCAGUGGCGAAGGCGGCUUUUUGGUCUGUAACUGACGCUGAGGCGCG